CACCGCGGUUAUACGAGAGGCCCUAGUUGAUAGACACGGCGUAAAGGGUGGUUAAGGAUAGUAAAAAUUUAAAGCCAAAGGGCCUCCUGGCCGUCAUACGCUUCCGAGUGUCCGAAGCCCAAAUACGAAAGUAGCUUUAACACAAGCCCACCUGACCCCACGAAAGCUGAGAAA
rnacentral:rRNA from 1 species